UGUGUGGAAGUCACUCAAACAUUCCUACCUGCUGGACAUUUGUCUGGACUCUAGUUGUCUGUCCCUGUUCUAAACAGUUAAAUAAUAAGCAGGUCUAGACACACUCCUUUUAAUAUUUAUUUUUCUUUGGAAACGGCUUCCAGAAAUGAAACCAUGCAUGUGGUCAGAAUGAAGAGUGCCAGUGGUCUCUGCUUGUCACCAAAAAUAAUUCAGAAGACAGCUGAAGAGGCCUCCAUGCUCGGAUUCUGCUCCUCCCUCUCCCGCCCCUCAUUCUUGUUUCUUUUCCAAGAGAAGAGGUUGAGCCAAGACUGGGCAUUCCUGGGUCCUCUCUGCCAGGAGGCGGAGUCACAGGGCAGGAAAAAACAUUGUCCUUUCUUCCCAACUCUCGAAGGCAGCCCGAGGGAUGAGCUAGCUGGGAACACGGACAUCUGCAGGAAGCCUGGAACCUUUGGCUCUUGCUGAACUGGCCUGGUGACUAACUUCAGGAUGAAGAGAGAUGAGGUCCUGUAAGGCAGCUUUACAGAUGAUGAAAACUGAGACUGCAGAACCACAUGUUCCAUGCUUCCAGACAGCAUCAGACAAUCCAGCCCUGCUUACUAUUUCUGCUCAGGCUCACAAGGUGGAGGAGCUG